UGUGAACUCGAAGAGUAGGGCGGGACACGUGGUAUCCUGUCUGAAUAUGGGGGGACCAUCCUCCAAGGCUAAAUACUCCUGACUGACCGAUAGUGAACCAGUACCGUGAGGGAAAGGCGAAAAGAACCCCGGCGAGGGGAGUGAAAAAGAACCUGAAACCGUGUACGUACAAGCAGUGGGAGCACCUUCGGGUGUGACUGCGUACCUUUUGUAUAAUGGGUCAGCGACUUAUAUUCUGUAGCAAGGUUAACCGUAUAGGGGAGCCGCAGGGAAACCGAGUCUUAACUGGGCGUUAAGUUGCAGGGUAUAGACCCGAAACCCGGUGAUCUAGCCAUGGGCAGGUUGAAGGUUGGGUAACACUAACUGGAGGACCGAACCGACUAAUGUUGAAAAAUUAGCGGAUGACUUGUGGCUGGGGGUGAAAGGCCAAUCAAACCGGGAGAUAGCUGGUUCUCCCCGAAAGCUAUUUAGGUAGCGCCUCGUGAAUUCAUCUUCGGGGGUAGAGCACUGUUUCGGCUAGGGGGUCAUCCCGACUUACCAACCCGAUGCAAACUACGAAUACCGAAGAAUGUUAUCACGGGAGACACACGGCGGGUGCUAACGUCCGUCGUGAAGAGGGAAACAACCCAGACCGCCAGCUAAGGUCCCAAAGUCAUGGUUAAGUGGGAAACGAUGUGGGAAGGCACAGACAGCCAGGAUGUUGGCUUAGAAGCAGCCAUCAUUUAAAGAAAGCGUAAUAGCUCACUGGUCGAGUCGGCCUGCGCGGAAGAUGUAACGGGGCUAAACCAUGCACCGAAGCUGCGGCAGCGACACUAUGUGUUGUUGGGUAGGGGAGCGUUCUGUAAGCCUGCGAAGGUGACCUGUGAGGGUUGCUGGAGGUAUCAGAAGUGCGAAUGCUGACAUAAGUAACGAUAAAGCGGGUGAAAAGCCCGCUCGCCGGAAGACCAAGGGUUCCUGUCCAACGUUAAUCGGGGCAGGGUGAGUCGACCCCUAAGGCGAGGCCGAAAGGCGUAGUCGAUGGGAAACAGGUUAAUAUUCCUGUACUUGGUGUUACUGCGAAGGGGGGACGGAGAAGGCUAUGUUAGCCGGGCGACGGUUGUCCCGGUUUAAGCAUGUAGGCUGGUUGUCCAGGCAAAUCCGGAUAAUCAAGGCUGAGGUGUGAUGACGAGGCACUACGGUGCUGAAGUAACAAAUGCCCUGCUUCCAGGAAAAGCCUCUAAGCAUCAGGUAACAUCAAAUCGUACCCCAAACCGACACAGGUGGUCAGGUAGAGAAUACCAAGGCGCUUGAGAGAACUCGGGUGAAGGAACUAGGCAAAAUGGUGCCGUAACUUCGGGAGAAGGCACGCUGGUGUGUAGGUGAAGUCCCUGCGGAUGGAGCUGAGACCAGUCGAAGAUACCAGCUGGCUGCAACUGUUUAUUAAAAACACAGCACUGUGCAAACACGAAAGUGGACGUAUACGGUGUGACGCCUGCCCGGUGCCGGAAGGUUAAUUGAUGGGGUUAUCCGUAAGGAGAAGCUCUUGAUCGAAGCCCCGGUAAACGGCGGCCGUAACUAUAACGGUCCUAAGGUAGCGAAAUUCCUUGUCGGGUAAGUUCCGACCUGCACGAAUGGCGUAAUGAUGGCCAGGCUGUCUCCACCCGAGACUCAGUGAAAUUGAACUCGCUGUGAAGAUGCAGUGUACCCGCGGCAAGACGGAAAGACCCCGUGAACCUUUACUAUAGCUUGACACUGAACAUUGAGCCUUGAUGUGUAGGAUAGGUGGGAGGCUUUGAAGCGUGGACGCCAGUCUGCGUGGAGCCAACCUUGAAAUACCACCCUUUAAUGUUUGAUGUUCUAACGUUGGCCCCUGACCGGGGUUGCGGACAGUGUCUGGUGGGUAGUUUGACUGGGGCGGUCUCCUCCCAAAGCGUAACGGAGGAGCACGAAGGUUAGCUAAUCCUGGUCGGACAUCAGGAGGUUAGUGCAAUGGCAUAAGCUAGCUUGACUGCGAGCGUGACGGCGCGAGCAGGUGCGAAAGCAGGUCAUAGUGAUCCGGUGGUUCUGAAUGGAAGGGCCAUCGCUCAACGGAUAAAAGGUACUCCGGGGAUAACAGGCUGAUACCGCCCAAGAGUUCAUAUCGACGGCGGUGUUUGGCACCUCGAUGUCGGCUCAUCACAUCCUGGGGCUGAAGUAGGUCCCAAGGGUAUGGCUGUUCGCCAUUUAAAGUGGUACGCGAGCUGGGUUUAGAACGUCGUGAGACAGUUCGGUCCCUAUCUGCCGUGGGCGCUGGAGAAUUGAGGGGGGCUGCUCCUAGUACGAGAGGACCGGAGUGGACGCAUCACUGGUGUUCGGGUUGUCAUGCCAAUGGCACUGCCCGGUAGCUAAAUGCGGAAGAGAUAAGUGCUGAAAGCAUCUAAGCACGAAACUUGCCCCGAGAUGAGUUCUCCCUGAGACUUUAAGUCUCCUGAAGGAACGUU
rnacentral:rRNA from 1 species